CAGGGAGACAACAAAAUGUUUAAUAUUAUGAUUUUGUCACCUUAGGUCGAUCGGUAUCUCACAUUCUUAAUUAUUUAAGAAUUUCAUUUCCUAAGUUUUUCUAGGUCACACCCAUUAUUUUUCCUGGGCCAUUAGCUCAGGUGGUUAGAGCGCACCCCUGAUAAGGGUGAGGUCCCUGGUUCAAGUCCAGGAUGGCCCAUAUCUCUAUGUUGGGGGUAUAGCUCAGUUGGUAGAGCGCCUGCUUUGCAAGCAGGAUGUCAGCGGUUCGAGUCCGCUUACCUCCACUGAAUACCACCUCUUCCAUAAUUUAAGGAAAGGUUUUGAGUUGUGAUCAAAUUCUGAACGAAUCUAGCUUCCUAAUGAAUUCAUUAAGAUGCUGGACUCAUUGAAUAAAUUUCAUUGAUUUCAGAGAACCUUGACGACUGCAUAGAUUAUUUUUGAAGACAAUAAGCAUCUUUAAUGAUGCAGAUUUAUUAUUUGUGCGAAUGCAUUAAUAACAAUUCUAUUAAGCUGAUGCUUCAA
rnacentral:tRNA from 1 species